rnacentral:rRNA from 1 species
AUUGAACGCUAACGGCGUGCUUAACACAUGCAAGUCGAGCGGCAGCACAGUAGUAGCAAUACUAUGGGUGGCGAGCGGCGGACGGGUGAGUAAUGCAUAGGAAUCUGCCUUAUAGUGGGGGAUAACCCGGGGAAACUCGGACUAAUACCGCAUAAUCUCUUCGUAGCAAAGAGGGGGACCGCAAGGCCUCUCGCUUCUGGAUGAUCCUACGUCUGAUUAGCUAGUUGGUAGGGUAAAGGCCUACCAAGGCGACGAUCAGUAACUGGUCUGAGAGGAUGAUCAGUCACACCGGAACUGAGACACGGUCCGGACUCCUACGGGAGGCAGCAGUGGGGAAUAUUGGACAAUGGGCGCAAGCCUGAUCCAGCAAUGCCGCGUGUGUGAAGAAGGCCUUCGGGUUGUAAAGCACUUUAGCCUGGAAAGAAAAAACUUUGGUUAACACCCAAAGUCUUGACGGUACCAGGAGAAUAAGCACCGGCUAACUCUGUGCCAGCAGCCGCAGUAACAC